CUGCAGCCCGAGUGGUGAUCGAUUUUAUUGAGCCUAAAACGUCCGUAGCCGGUUUAGUAAAUGCCUGGGUAAAUCGUGUAGCUUAACUAUACGACUUCCGGGUAGACUGCUAAACUUGAGACCGGGAGAGGCUAGAGGUACUCCUGGGGUAGAGGUGAAAUUCUGUAAUCCUAGGGGGACCACCAGUGGCGAAGGCGUCUAGCUAGAACGGGUCUGACGGUGAGGGACGAAGCCCUGGGGCACAAACCGGAUUAGAGACCCGAGUAGUCC
rnacentral:rRNA from 1 species